rnacentral:lncRNA from 1 species
AUGAGCUGGACUGUGCCUCUAGAGACUUUGGCACAAAAUAGGAUGUGUCAGAGGCAGAGCACAAUGCUAUUGGCAGUGAGGAGCACCUCAUUGGAUCCCUUAUUGCUGGGCAGCUUUGACCCAAGCUGUGCCUUGCUGCAGGAGGAAGGUUGGAGUCUACCAUCAGGAAUCAUGAAUUAUGUCAACUAUGCGGUUUGAUUGGUGUUUGUGUCAUAGCCAAAAUGGACAGAUAAGUAUAGCCUGGAUGAAGUGCAAUGAACGGAAUAUUAGAGCAACAAAUGUCCUAUUUUCAGCUGGCCUGUGUUUCUUCUCAUCACAUGAGGAGAAACUGUCGAAGUGAAAUAUAUUGACUCCAGCUAACAAAUUAGCAGGACAGGCUGUUGUUCCCUAAGCAUUCUAAAACUACAUGAAGACUUCUCACAAACCAAGCAAUGAAACCAGUUCAACAGAACUUUUGGUUUUUCUUCAACCCAUAUUUCUUUCUCUUUUGAUAAACUUCAUGAUUCAAAAGGUUGAAGGAAGUUUUAUUGUCAAAUUCAGUUAAGGAGCAUAGUGGUAGAUUGAGGGAAGACAUUGCUAAACCAGAGCAAGCUCAACAGAGGUCCCUGGUUAGGCUUAGUAAGGGUAUUUAACAAAUAACUGGCAUUCAUUUAUUUUUGAUAUAAGACUCAAUCGCAUGUAUUAUGUGCUCUUUGUUGACAAGCAACAGAGAAGCAAACGUGUAAUUUCAAGAGGAAACCAUCAGAAAUAUAAACAUAUAUGAGACCAGAAUUCUUUCUUGAAGGAUUCAUCAGAAAGCCUGGUACGAAUUUGAUGCCUCACCUUGCAAUGCAUUACAGUCUGCUUAAUUAAGCCAUUAGCUACAAGCAGCAAAUAAAUAAAAUUGGAAUGGUAGGUGCAAAGAAACACAUAGGUUCACCAGUCUGGUUCCAAAGGUAAUGCUGUGCCUGUACAAAUGUCAAAUAUAUAGUUAAGAUAAUUUGUAUUAGUGACGACAGCACAAAUUUUACAGGAACUGGAAACUUUGUUCUACAUAGGUUAUCUUUCUGUAAAGAUCAGGUAGUCAUAAAAAUAUUGGAUAAGAAAUCAGACAUAACUUGGACCAUGACUGUUAAACUAUAUUUCAUAAUCACCUAUUGUUUGGACAGACUGGCCUUGGAAGCCUCACCCUUUCACAGGUGUAGAAGUAUAAAUUCUGAUGCUCUGUGUUAUUGGCACCUCUUGGCAAGAUGGGUACCAACAAGAUCUUGCUUUUCCUCUUAAGUACAGCUCUUCUGGAUGCCACCACAGGUAAACCACUUAAAAUUUUUAAAACCAGUAUUUAAAAAAAAAAAGAAGAAAAAAGGGGAUGUCUUACGCUUCUGCAGUGGUUCCAUACAUGUAACUCAUGUGCUAAUAUUAUCAACUUUGUGCAAAGAUUGGAUGUAAAAUGGGCUACAAUUUGAUAGCAUCAUGUUGUCUUAUUAAAAAUAUGAUCCAUCCAACAUUGUGAUUAAUUAUUAUUUAUAUUUAAGUAAAUUUAUUACAAUGAAACCAAUAUCGUUCCAACUUUUAUAGUAGUGUCCUGUAGCAUAGAUUAAAACAAAUUUAGAAAAAAAUAAACUACCUUGAAAGUACUAAUAAAAGAUUUCGCAUAAAUCUGUGUUCUUCAAUCUGAAAUCAAGAAGAAAUGUCAUUGGCUAUAAUGUAUACUUGCUUUAAAAUAAUUCAAGGUUAACCUUCUAGAUGCUUAUGGAUUCACCCAAUACUUAUUUAACUUUAUAUAACUUAAUCGAAGCACAAUAGUAAGACACAGUUGCUAUCAUGCAUGGCAUCAUGUAGUACCAGGGACAUGAAUUUUCCUCCCAGUUAUGCCACUGAGAUGGUCGUGCACACAGAUGGAAAACCUGGAGACUGUAAAAACCCAGCCUUGCACAUUUGCACAACCAAAUCAUAACAGUGAUAGUGUUCAGGUAGGUUGUGCUUUCUCAGAAACCAACAUUUAGUAUCACCAAGGACUUUCUAAAUACUAUUGAUAUUUCACAAGGGUGAUAUCUUGGACUUGCCAUUCUCAG